GNCCUUCUGGGUCGUAAACGGCUUUUUUCCGGGAAGAACCGGUUCCUUGCGAGGGGCUCUGACGGUACCGGGAGAAUAAGCACCGGCUAACUCCGUGCCAGCAGCCGCGGCAAUACGGAGGGUGCGAGCGUUGUCCGGAUUUAUUGGGUUUAAAGGGUGCGUAGGCGGCCGCGUAAGUCUGGGGUGAAAGCCCGUUGCUCAACAACGGAACUGCCCUGGAAACUGCGUGGCUUGAGUCCAGACGAGGUUGGCGGAAUGGGCGGUGUAGCGGUGAAAUGCAUAGAUACCGUCCAGAACACCGAUUGCGAAGGCAGCUGACUAGGCUGGUACUGACGCUGAGGCACGAAAGCGUGGGGAGCGAACAGGAUUAGAUACCCUGGUAGUCCACGCCGUAAACGAUGGAUACUCGCUGCCAGCGAUAGAUGGUUGGUGGCUUAGCGAAAGCGUUAAGUAUCCCACCUGGGGAGUACGCCCGCAAGGGUGAAACUCAAAGGAAUUGACGGAAUCACUA
rnacentral:rRNA from 1 species